UGUAAGUAAGCUUUGAUCCAGAGAUUUCCGAAUGGGGAAACCCAGCAUGAGUUAUGUCAUGUUAUCGAUAUGUGAAUACAUAGCAUAUCAGAAGGCACACCCGGAGAACUGAAACAUCUUAGUACCCGGAGGAAGAAAAAGAAAAUUCGAUUCCCUUAGUAGCGGCGAGCGAAACGGGAAGAGCCCAAACCAACAAGCUUGCUUGUUGGGGUUGUAGGACACUCUAUACGGAGUUACAAAGGACGACAUUAGACGAAUCAUCUGGAAAGAUGAAUCAAAGAAGGUAAUAAUCCUGUAGUCGAAAAUGUUGUCUCUCUUGAGUGGAUCCUGAGUACGACGGAACACGUGAAAUUCCGUCGGAAUCUGGGAGGACCAUCUCCUAAGGCUAAAUACUCUCUAGUGACCGAUAGUGAACCAGUACCGUGAGGGAAAGGUGAAAAGCACCCCGGAAGGGGAGUGAAAUAGAACCUGAAACCGUGUGCUUACAAGUAGUCAGAGCCCGUUAAUGGGUGAUGGCGUGCCUUUUGUAGAAUGAACCGGCGAGUUACGAUUUGAUGCAAGGUUAAGCAGUAAAUGUGGAGCCGUAGCGAAAGCGAGUCUGAAUAGGGCGUUUAGUAUUUGGUCGUAGACCCGAAACCAGGUGAUCUACCCUUGGUCAGGUUGAAGUUCAGGUAACACUGAAUGGAGGACCGAACCGACUUACGUUGAAAAGUGAGCGGAUGAACUGAGGGUAGCGGAGAAAUUCCAAUCGAACCUGGAGAUAGCUGGUUCUCUCCGAAAUAGCUUUAGGGCUAGCCUCAAGUGAUGAUUAUUGGAGGUAGAGCACUGUUUGGACGAGGGGCCCCUCUCGGGUUACCGAAUUCAGACAAACUCCGAAUGCCAAUUAAUUUAACUUGGGAGUCAGAACAUGGGUGAUAAGGUCCGUGUUCGAAAGGGAAACAGCCCAGACCACCAGCUAAGGUCCCAAAAUAUAUGUUAAGUGGAAAAGGAUGUGGCGUUGCCCAGACAACUAGGAUGUUGGCUUAGAAGCAGCCAUCAUUUAAAGAGUGCGUAAUAGCUCACUAGUCGAGUGACACUGCGCCGAAAAUGUACCGGGGCUAAACAUAUUACCGAAGCUGUGGAUUGUCCUUUGGACAAUGGUAGGAGAGCGUUCUAAGGGCGUUGAAGCAUGAUCGUAAGGACAUGUGGAGCGCUUAGAAGUGAGAAUGCCGGUGUGAGUAGCGAAAGACGGGUGAGAAUCCCGUCCACCGAUUGACUAAGGUUUCCAGAGGAAGGCUCGUCCGCUCUGGGUUAGUCGGGUCCUAAGCUGAGGCCGACAGGC
rnacentral:rRNA from 1 species